rnacentral:lncRNA from 1 species
GUUGGUGAUGGUGACAACAUGGAGAGUGACGAGGAUGUGACUGCACUAUCUUCUGGCACGCAGAUGCCCAGGACAUGAGCAUGCAGGGGCCAGAAGGCCUCACCUUAAACUGAGCUGGGUAGAAGAAGCACUGAGAACGGCCAUCUGGGACAGGCACUACUGCUUUUCAUUGAAAGAAGAAUAUUAUUUCAAUGCCUUUGAGCACAAAGGUCAGGGAAAUUACACACACACGUGCUUUAAAUCCUGUUGCCAGGUAAGCAUAUUAUUUCCUAUUUUGAGGCAAGAAUUCAUGGACUCCUUUCAAAGUGCGGUAUUCUCCUUUUCAGGACUUGUCAGCAAAGGUUUUUUUUUUCCUCAAGCAACUCUUUUAUAAUACCAUGUUCCCCCAAAGGUAAGACCUAGCUGAAAAAUGAUUAGGCCUGAAAACCAGAGAUCAAAAAUGCCAGCCCCAAUCAGUUGGAUGAGGACCAAAUCAAAUUCAAUGUUUGGGUUCAAUGUUGACCUUAUGGGAAAGUUUGUUUGAUGCAGCUCUUUUUUCAGUUUGAUUUGUGAUCAGAAUCGUGGUGAGAACUGAGUCCCUCAACCAAGGUACCACUGUAUUGUCUAGUGAUGCAACCAUAUUAGAGUAACCCAGGAGGAAAUACCAUGUCCUGAGGAGUCCUACUUUUUCACAGAGAAC